UUCUAACCUGGUACCGUAAUCCGGUGCGGGGACAGUGUCAGGUGGGCAGUUUGACUGGGGCGGUCGCCUCCUAAAGAGUAACGGAGGCGCCCAAAGGUUCCCUCAGAAUGGUUGGAAAUCAUUCGAAGAGUGCAAAGGCAUAAGGGAGCUUGACUGCGAGACCUACAAGUCGAGCAGGGACGAAAGUCGGGCUUAGUGAUCCGGUGGUACCGCAUGGAAGGGCCAUCGCUCAACGGAUAAAAGCUACCCUGGGGAUAACAGGCUUAUCUCCCCCAAGAGUCCACAUCGACGGGGAGGUUUGGCACCUCGAUGUCGGCUCAUCGCAUCCUGGGGCUGAAGUAGGUCCCAAGGGUUGGGCUGUUCGCCCAUUAAAGCGGUACGCGAGCUGGGUUCAGAACGUCGUGAGACAGUUCGGUCCCUAUCUGUCGUGGGCGUAGGAAAUUUGAGAGGAGCUGUCCUUAGUACGAGAGGACCGGGAUGGACGUACCGCUGGUGUACCAGUUGUUCCGCCAGGAGCACCGCUGGGUAGCUAUGUACGGACGGGAUAAACGCUGAAAGCAUCUAAGCGUGAAGCCCCCCUCAAGAUGAGAUUUCCCAGUAUGUAAGACCCCUUGAAGACGACGAGGUAGAUAGGCUGGGGGUGGAAGUGCAGCAAUGCAUGGAGCUGACCAGUACUAAUCGGUCGAGGGCUUAUCCAAU
rnacentral:rRNA from 1 species